UACAGAGGUCCCAAGCGUUGUUCGGAUUUACUGGGCGUAAAGGGUGCGUAGGCGGCUUGCAAAGUCCGGUGUGAAAUAUUGCGGCUCAACCGCAAAAGUGCAUUGGAAACUUGCAGGCUUGAGAUCUGGAGGGGAAGUUGGAAUUCUCGGUGUAGCAGUGAAAUGCGUAGAUAUCGAGAGGAACACCAGUAGCGAAAGCGAACUUCUGGACAGAUUCUGACGCUGAGGCACGAAAGCUAGGGUAGCAAACAGG
rnacentral:rRNA from 1 species